CCAGUUCACAUAUUUUAAAAUGUAUUAGUGAAAUAAUGAGAUUGUUGAUAGCAUACAGUGUUAAAAGGUCUAUAAAGGAGAAGUUCUAAUAAAAAUGUUGAAAUUAUUAACAUUGUAAAUCCUGAAAUUCCCCCACCGUGGGACGAAAAAAGGUUAACAGUGCUGCUCCUCCUGGAGGUAAUUUCCGUUUGGCCACUAGGUGGCGAUCGCGCUGUAGAAGUACACUUUAUUCAAGAAGAAGACAACAGUAUGAGGGGGGAAAAACGAAGUUUUAGACCACAAAUGGUUACUUUCCUUAAAAUAGUUUGGAGAAAUUCAUGCCUUGGAAUUCCCAGAUUUUGAAUGAAACGGGAAUCAGGAGGUCAACGCCACUCCUCGGCUCCUUUCGCACAACAAACCAGAGGUCCCCACCCCGUCCAUUUUGAGCGCUCCGCAUCGGCUGUGCCAAGCCUUUAAUCUGCCGGUGACAUCCCAGUGUUUCCUGCAUGGGAAAGAGGGAGAGAUAAGCAUGCUCCUCUGUGCGGGGACAGUGGGAGGCAGGGUCCUCCUGAACAAAGGGCUCAAUACCACGGGCUGUUGGUUUUGGAGGGCCCGUGGCCGAGGGCCAGCCCGCUGACAGGACAACCUGGCUACGCGUGACCCAGAUAGCAGCCCUGGGUGAGGAGUGAUUUAUCCGUCUGUGUUCGCAUCGGUCAACCUUCCUCUGAUUAAGGGUCAGCCUCUGAGCGACAGAGCCGAGUGGAGAGGGCGAGACGUCGGCGUCCUCGUCGCCCAACUUUCCAGACGCUUUUGUCCAACAAUCGCAGAAGUUGGCAUUUUCAUAUUUCUGUCAUCUUAUUAACUUAAACACAGUGGAGCUGAGAUUAUUGAGCCGGCCUUGACGUUCCCUCAGCCCGACAACAAAAGGAUGUGGAUGUGAGUGUCCCACUGUCUGACUGGUCUCUGCGGGCCGUUAUAGAUCAGCAUUCCUGAUGUUCAGAGUUCACAAACAGGUUACAACCUCCAUCAAUUUCAUGCAACUGCAGGGGAAUUCUGCUUUGUUUUUAGAGUUUCUUUCCAAAAAUUAUUUUAUUUCCAUGUGUGAAAACACUAGAAAUUUAGUUGUUUUAUUCAAAAAUAUCCCUUUUCUACUAAAAAAACAAAUAAAUAUUUACAGAUGUUUCUCUACUAAAAAAUAAUGCGUGUUUUAGUCAACAAAGCAAGAGAGUAUUAUAGUAUAAGCUUAAAAUACCUGGCUGUGCGUCACCGUGGGAGGACUUAUGUCCAGGAUUACUAUCUCGUCCAUACGGGGCUCACGUGCUUUCUCCUUUUCGUGCUCCACAACUUCUCACCCAGUGACUGCAGGGAUCACAAUCUGCUGUGUAACAGUUUUUUAUUUUAUGUCAUAUUUAGGUGUUCUUGUUAAGUAGCAUUUAUUUACUUGUAAAGUAUGUCGUUUUUCUUUAUUUUAGGUAUACCUUCCCUUUUUUCUGUUUAAAAUAAACCAAAUGAGCUAAUCUUUUAAUCAGAUGCUAUAAUUUGUUUGGCAUAAAUUUAAAAUACACGACUCAUCUUAUGCAUUUAAAUACUAUACAAUAGUUUAAGCUCUGUUUUAUAAAGCUAAACGUUAAAAAAAUCCUAAAAAAGUGUAAUUAAUUAUAAAUGUAGACUUUAUUUACCUAAAUAACAUGUGUGCAAUAAUCCUGUGCAUAGCUGCCCCCUGGUGGCAAAAGCUGGCUUCACACUUUCUUAUCAAAGCCCCCAGUGACCUGUCAGCUUUUACACAAAAAUAUUUUAAAAAUGACAAAAACAAGACCAAACAAAUAUGUUUUAUUCUACUUUUACUGCGAUACUUUUGUCGGGGAAGAACAAAGGCUCGGCAACAACAGAGAGCGUUCGCAGAGCGGAGGACACGCAGCUUCAGAGGAACUGGAAGUGGACUGUUUGCUGUUUCAGUGGAAACAGGAAGUCCGACCAGGUGAUUCCCAAACCGGAGCGAGUGGUGUGAAUUUCACAGAGCAUGGCUUCCUCUCGGGCAGAGGAUGUUCCCAGCUAAUCUUUCAUAGAUACGGCAAACAGAAGUCAUCGGAACCAGGAAGUGGGGACAGGUGCUCUUCUGAAGAUUCAUGGAUUGACACUGAAAGAAAAGAAAAAAAAGACAAUAGUCCACAUUUAACUUUUCUGCAAAAACACAUUAAAUUGAAGUUAUUUUAGUCUUCA